UUAAACACAUACGACUCUUAAUAGAUUUUAUGUUCACCUGCGCUUGUCAGCGGAAGUAAAAACCUGGUGAAGCACGCGACUCCCACUCCGCUCCUGAAUAUUUCAGUAUUUAGAUUACCUGCAGCAGCAUUGCUGAAGAUUUGUCGGAGCACCUCAGACAGGAGUGUAACGGGAAAAAGCAGAUUGAGGACACUGGAGGCCGUGGAGAAGCAGAUUUGUGACUUGGUUCAGAAGUAGGCCCAGCUGAGAGAGCGGAGAGCCGUGCUGGAAACCUACCGGGCUGACACUCACUAGUCUGGGGAGCGUCCUAGACUUUUUUGCACUGAUGGCCUGCACAGAGUCGGAGCAGAACUACUGUCGGACAACAUCUCCAGGAUGCUAAGCUCCAUAUGACUAGACAGAACUGAAUACUGUCCUUGGAGUUGAGCUGAAUAGUGAUCCGAAAGGCGAUGGUGGAGAUGGUGAUGAAGACAAGGGAGACACACACACUCACGGUAGAGACAGGAGGGAACUUGGAGACGUUGGAGACAGGAUGCUGGGUUGGGAAAUGCAUUCUGGGCCUGCUUAGAAGAAAAUGACAGAAUGCCCUGACUUCAAGCCUGUGAGAGACACGAUAAAAUGGCAAGAUGGAUUUCUGUUUCUUUUAUUCUAUUGGUUAUCUCUCUCUAUUUUUUUCGAUUGUUCUUACAAGCACACAUUUUUACUGAGAGCUUUACGGAGUACAAACAGGAAUCACGCAGACACUCAGUUUAGUGUGAACAGUACACGUAUACUGGAUGUGUGUGUGACUCUCAUGUCCAGCCUUUUGAGAGGA